rnacentral:lncRNA from 7 species
AGUAUCAUUUAAAAUACUUUUAAAAUCCUCUUGCUGGAUUAUUUCCCGGGGCUUUUUGUCCUCUCGCUGCCAAACUAAGCUCUAGUGGUCAAUCUUCGUAUCUGCAUUUGUUUCAUCAAGACUCGAAGACUUCUGGCAAUCAACGAUUGUUUGGUAAAGUAGUAUUCAAUACCUGGCUCUGGCUCUGGCUACAUAAAAAUCUUAUUAGGUCUGCAGUCAGUCGUAUCGACUCCGAGUCUGAGGUCUGUUCAGAUGAUCAUUUUUCACACAAGUAUUGUAUCUAGCACUUAAUAAAGUUUAUUAGGUGUACACGAUGGUGAUGGAAAUGAUGUUAGUUUUCUCUAGUGCGCAGCCAUGGAGUAGGAAACCACAUAGAAAGCGCAAGUAUUAUUUAGAUCAGCGCCAACAAAUCCUCGAUGGCGUGGGCCAAAGUUCUCCAUAGAUUCGUGAAACACGACGUGCAAUUAAGUUCAAUCCACCAAAACUAUACAUACUGACACACUAGCCAGCAAAUUGAUAUGGAUAUCCAGUUGGGCUGCGAAGGCCAAUCUGAACGUUGGGCGCAAGAAUUCAGAAUACGGCAUCAGCACGUCGCCUCUGCCCGACACACGCACGCAAACCAUUAGAAUUUACUCCAUAA